GGAUGUGAGGGCAAUCUGGGUGUGGUAUCCGUCACCCCACUGAUCACCUGAGUUGAUUUGGCUGAUCUGGCAGGCUGGGAAAGCCUCCUCUCCCAUCCUCACCACUCAGUCUGUGUCCUCCUGAGCCUGCAUGCUUGUUAAAUGAGCGUGUCCACCACUGAUAAAGGCAGGCCCUUUCCCCCAUCAAGGGUGUCUGCGCAGCUGUAUCACCCUGCUAGCACCUCCAAACAAGCACGAAACUCUACCCAUAGUUUUGCAGAAGAAGGAAUGAAAAUUUAGAGGCUGAUCACCUUCCCUAGG
rnacentral:snRNA from 1 species